ensembl:lncRNA
ACAGCGUUUCUGAUCUACCAGGGCUGGGGUGGGGGCCUGAGACUCUGCAUUUCUGACCAGUCCCCAGGUGAUGCAGUGCCACUGAUCCAGGGACCAAUUUGGAAACCCUCUGACCUAGGGGAACUCGUGUCCCUACCCCAAAAGGAGUAGUUUGGAGGCCAGGCCAGAGGCAGUGCCAGGGCAGUCACACCAGGAGGGGUAUCUUUCCAGCAGCCGGGGCUCCAAGGACACCAGAGUGGGGCUCGUCAGGGGCCUGAGGCCCCUCCGCAGGCCUCUCCUCCAGGCCGGUUCCCUCCUGCCUGGCCCGGCGCCCUGGCCCUCAGAAGGCCCCUCCACCCAGCUUUGUUUGCAUUCCUGGAGCCUGCGUCAGCUUGGGCAGUGGGCAUGUCUAUGCGGGCAGGCCUGGCGCAGUCCUGACGGCUGGCCCUGCUCCCCAGGCCUCCUGGGCAGGCGCUGCAGUGGCCACGCAGGGCUCACUUAGCAGGCCUGGUGACUCACGCUUCCUCCCGGAUUCCGGGAAAUGCUUUCCUCCUGUUGCUGCUGCUGCUUUUUUUCUUGUUUAAUGAGAAGUUCUCUGCAGACUUCCAUGGCAACCUCAGGAUGGAGAGGCAGGGGGAGAAGGUGGACAAAUCCAUUCCCAAGAGGGGCCCCAAGAAUUCCCAUCACACACACACAUACACCCUUGCCAGCCCUGGCCGGAGCCCCCAACCCACCAUGGAGCUCUGGUCCAGGAGGGCUAGCCCCAGAAAUGCUUGCUUUUAUUAAAAAGGAAUGGCCUCACAAAGGCACAACUGUAGGAAAGGUUGUAAUUUGCCCAAAUAAAACUUAAUUUGAUCCAUGAAAUAGCUGUGGUUUAUUGUGUAAUAGACGUGCUAUGUGUUUCAGUUUAAUAGAAGCCAAUAUAAUAGGGGGCCAGCCGGGGCCUCCAGAGGCCAGCCUCUUUCCCACUACGCACAGUAGGGCCACACAGCCCGCCCUGAUGGCGAGACCCUCCACCGGGAGCCGAUGGAGAAGGGCUGGCCACAGACUCCUGGCCCAGACCACAGAGGCCAGCGGGAGAGACAGCCCAGGGACAGAAGAGCAAGAGCACUUGAAGGAAAAGAAAAAAAAAAAGAAGAAACGAAAACCACCCUUUUUCCAAAGCAAGACUGGCUGUAGCCUACCAGGCUCCUCUGUCCAUGAGAUUCUCCAGGCAAGAACAUGGAGUGGGUUGCCAGGCUCUCCUCCAGGAAAUCUUCCCGACCCAGGGAUCGAACUCACAUCUCUUGAGUCUCUUGUGUUGGCAGCCCUCUGUUGCUGGUGCCGCUGCUGUUGCUGUUUAGCCCCUUCAGUCAAGUCUGACUCUGUGCGACCCCGUGAACUGUGGCCCACCAGGCUCCUCUGUCCGUGGAAUUCUCCAGGCGGAUUCUUUACCACUGAGCCACCAGGGAAGUCCUCCCAGCCCUCUAUCAAGCCCUUAUUCUCUUCUAGGUCAUGUCUCAGACCACAUCAGUGCUUGCAACAGUUCCCAUCUUGUUUUCCAAAACACUUUCCUGCUUCCAAGUUCAUUUAUUCCUUGCAACCACUCUGUGAAAACAAGUAUUAGACCCAUUUCAUAGAUAAAGAAACUGAGACCACUCCCUUGUAGAGAGAAGGUGGUAGGAAGCCCUUUGGCUGCUUUAUGCUUCCCCAGCCUUCUCAGCCUCCCAACCAUGGUGUUCAGAGUUAGGGCACUGGCUGAGAGGCAUGAAAUUCUAUAAGCCAGGGUCUUCGAGGUUCAUGAAAGCAUCCCAGCACCUUAGAUGAGGGAAAGCUAAUGAGCACUGGAAUAAGAGUCAGGC